rnacentral:tRNA from 1 species
GCCGCAGUGCUGAAAUUGGUAGACAGGCCAGCUUGAGGGGCUGGUACUCGCUUGAGUGUAAGGGUUCGAGUCCCUUCUGCGGCAC